UACGAAGGUCCCAAGCGUUAUCCGGAUUUAUUGGGUUUAAAGGGUGCGUAGGCGGUCUAUUAAGUCAGUGGUGAAAGCCCCAAGCUUAACUUGGGAACUGCCAUUGAUACUGAUGGUCUUGAGUACAUUUGAGGUGGGCGGAAUGUGUCAUGUAGCGGUGAAAUGCUUAGAUAUGACACAGAACACCGAUUGCGAAGGCAGCUCACUAAACUGUAACUGACGCUGAGGCACGAAAGCGUGGGGAGCAAACAGG
rnacentral:rRNA from 1 species